CAUGGCUCAGUCGGUAGGGCGUCGGCUUGAUAAGCCGAAGGUUGCGGGUUCAAUUCUU
rnacentral:tRNA from 1 species